rnacentral:lncRNA from 1 species
AUUUACCCAUAAAAUUCAAGAAGAAAAGAAUUGUAUAAAGUAAGUAAGGGAAAUUAUGGCAAAGGGAUAAUAAAGUACAAACUUAACCAAUAUUAUUUUUAGAAAACCCAAGUGCAAUUCUAUAUUCCACAUUGUCCACCUGGCUGGUUUCCAACGACUUCUGUGUUUUCUGAACCUUAGUCUGUCUGAUUAUGCCAAGCCACCAAGCACCUUCUGGGAAAAAGUACUGAGAGUGAGAUCUGGGAUUCUAGAAUUAGACUCUCUAAAAAUAAACCUAGGGAUUUCCUAACAACCUAUUUCUGCUUUUCUGAAAUUCCAGGACAAUCAAGAAAUGAAAAACCUGUCUUGGUGACAAUUUUGAAAAUCUCUUCACCCUCUUGGUGUCAUUAAGAAAAAUUUUGCCUAUUGAAUAUUGCCUGGAACAUGGUAUGGAAUAUUGCCCAGAACUAACUUCAGUAUGCAUUAGAGUCACCUGCCAGACUUGUUAAAACUUUGAUUGCUGCUCUGUGCUACUUUCUGGAGUUUACAAUUCAAUAGGAAUCAGGUGGGGCUCAAGAAUUUGCAUUUCUAAUAAUUCACAGAGGAUGCUGGUAUGCCUGGUUCACGGAUCACCGCUUUAGAACCACUGAUCUGGAACUAUAAGGAAAAGCUACUGAGUAUGCUGCAUCUUGGAGCACCCAUAUUGCCAUCUGCUGCCCCACGACCCCUAAGUCAUAUGUGCGACUUCUGUCGACGUCUACGUUGUUACAGGCAAAAAUCACGAGGAGCAUAUGGUUUUCAUUCUACCAAGACUUUCAUUUCAUGCUGUUACCAGAAGGGUUAGAAAUCCUGAUUGGAUGGGAAGGAGAUUAGCUUUUCCCCUAGUGGAAUAAUUUCAUUAUAACAGAGGGGUCACCUCCCUAAGCUAAAUGUGAAAAGAAUAAUAGAAAGAGUACAGAUCAUGGGGAAAAAAAAAACUAGAAAGGCUUUGUAAUAAAUUUUGAUAUGACUUCAGAGAGUACAUCUUCACUUCAUGUAUUUGAAUAAACCCUUUAAAAUUUGGAUAACUAGAUUGUUCUAUUUCAAUUCCCACUUUUCUCAUUUACAUCACUUUUAUACAUCAAGCACCUUCCACUAUCUGGCUGAUGUGUAGAAUAAGAAGCAUUUUCAGGGCGCUGACUCUUCUGGUCUAUCCAAGUUCACUGAAAGGACCUAUUUAACCCCUAAAAUAUCAAACACCAUUAAUACAGUGUAACCAAAAGAGCUAAACUCUACCCUGACUAAAGAACUUUAAAAGAAAUAUCAAGUCAUCAGGUAUCUAUCUCAAUGACUUGUUUCUUAUCGACAUCAGAAACAUCCAUGUAUUUUAUAAAGAUGCACAAGAAAUAAACCAAUGCAUGAGUAUAAUUUGAGCUUUUUACAUAUCUCUAUACCUUUAUUCCUGAUAUGAGGAUUUUUAACUUAAAGUUUUUCCGAUGCACUUUUCUCCGGAUGCUAUUGAAAUGAGUAGAGGUGAGUUCUGCAUUUGGCUCUAAGAUGACUUGCAAGAGUAAAGAUCCUUUGCUGUUUCAUUCAGUGAGACCUAAAGUAGUUCUGGGGUCCUUCUCAGCAUGAUCCUCAAAGGUUUUUAUAAACUCCUAUACACUAGUAUGUCUCCAGAGAAGAUAUUGCCCUAUCAGUGACAUUGACACCUAGAAUGAGGAAAAUGUGGGAUUGAGAAAAUGGGAUUGGUAUAAUGUGAUUAUUCUCAAGCCCUAUUCUGUAAUAUAAAGAGAAAAAGAAAGAAAAAGAAAAGAAAGUCAG